CCCCUCUCAGGUUCACACCUGGAGAGUUUCCAGUACUCUACCAGUCUUGAGUACAAGAGGAAGAGUCAAGCAGGGGCAUUUCUAUUCCAUUCCUAGCUUGGGCAGUGGCUAGCGAUUGAAAGGCAGUCUGCUACAAGU